CGAUUUCCGUUAACACUCUGUCGGCACACGGGUGCGAAUUUGGCAGGACAAAAAUAAAAAGUGGUCACAAAAAAGUGUCUUUAUAAGGUGAGACCGAAAAAAGUUCUAGCGACAUGAAAAAGUAUAAACCAAAUUCACAAAAAAGAGGUGUGCCUACAGAGGGUUACUAACGGUUCAAAAGUUAUCAUAAAUCUGCAACAUUACUCACGAAAAUUUUAAUCAAAAUCUUUAGAGUCGAUUAAAAAGAAAAAUUAUUUUCUAUUUCUCUCAUGUUCUUUAGGAUACCAAAUUUUGGCACAUCUGCGACUCGUUUGAACGUAAACAAAAGUUUAUUGCUGAAAUAAAAAAAUGAACUACAUAAGCCCGAAAAAAGGGCUGGAAAGGAAAGGGGAUUUGUUUAGACAUUAUAAAGAACCAGCAGAGUGUCGAGAAUUUAGGCUAAAAUGAAUAGAAAAGAUUUUUCAACAUCCGAUUGAUCGUCAAAAGAACUGCUUUU